GUCCUCGGCUUUCGAGCGUUACAGUCGCGAGUUCGGAUCGAAAGGACACUGGGCGAGUGUAGAGCGUUCAGUGUGGUACCAACAACAAAUGCCUCAAUAUUAUAGCCAAUGCUAGAAAGUAGUGAAAGACGAAACCGAAUGCCAGCGAAAUCAAAAAUAAUCAAAAAUUAUUAAACAAAUAUUAAACAGAUAUAAAAAGAGAGCCCCAAUGAGCGACCGUUUUAAGGGUCCGAAUCGUAAGCGAAAGGCGAACCAAGUUUUGUAGCAUACUUUUUUGGGUUUACGUCAUGUUUGUCUACGCGAACCGCCAUUUGUGCUUGUGUGCUUGAGUUCGCACACAAACACGCACACCAUUAUGUCGCCUGUAUUCGUGCCUGUGUCUGUGCCUGUGUUUGUGUUUGCAUUGGUGUCUGUGAGCCAGAAUGCAUGCCAAUCAGUAUCAGAAUCAGAGUCCUCAAUCCAGAGUCCUGAGUCCUGAGUCCUGAAUCAUCGACUGUCCAAACAUCGUGCAUUGCUUUUGUCCUCCUGGCUAAUUAGCUGCAGGUAGCAGGUCCUUGUGCCAUCUUACCUUCAAGCUAAGCAAAAACGUAGUAAAUGAACAAACGAAAAAAUAGCAUCAAAAAUCAAAAGUCCAAAUCAAAACAAGACAAACAUAAAUGUAAAUUGGUAUGCAAAUAAACUAAACCAUAAUUGCCGAUGCAACAACAACAACAACAGAUCAAACAAAUACAACAGCAACAAUAAAUACAACAAUAACAUCAACAGCAACAACAAGAAACAAGAACAAAGUUACUGCAACCAGAACAGCAACAACAACCGCUGCUAGUAGAUAAAAAAAAUUUAUAAACAA